AGAUUUUUACACCUAACCAGUAGACAGAAGACAGUUACCCCAGUGGUUGCAUUAGGAAAAGCUGGAUUAAGGUGAUGAGGAAGAUGACCCUAUAGGAAGACCACCAAUCUCAACUAUCCUGGACCAUUGAGAUCUCUCAGACACGGAGCCAGCAAGCAGGCAUCAUACAGCAGCUGAUAUGAGGCCUCCAACACAUACACAGCACAGAACUGCCAGGUCUGGACUCAGACAGAGAAGGUAGAAAUAAGCCUCAAGAGAAUUGGAACACCAGGGAGUGGGGAUGGUGUGGGGACAUACUUUUGGAGAUGGGGUCGGGGAGGUGGUGUGGGGUAUGGAACAUUUGGAUUGUGUACCAGGAGGGGGAUAAAGUCUGGAGUGUAAAAAAAGAUUAAAGAAUAAGUUAAAAAAAUAGAAAGGAGUCUCUGGUCUCUUAAGUUAAUGCAUGUAAUUAACUGAUUUUCCAUCUUAAUAACUGAAACUAAAGCAUUACAACUCUAGUAAGAAGCAAAUAAAUCACAAACAGAUAUUCAAAAAAUAUGUUCUUAGCAUGUAACAUCACUUUAUUACAAUAUUGGAAUAUUUAAUAAAAUAUGCUUAAAUAAUUUUUAAAGAGCACAUAUCUGACUAAUUUUAUGUUACAUCAAAAGUUAAGGACUUGUUUGUAAUUUUACAAUCUUCGUAUAGAAUUACAGGGACCUCAUAAUCUAGAAUGAUUUGCAUUGACAUUUGAUUUAAUUUGUUCUCUAAUGUCUCUUUAUAUUUUUGGGGGAAGAAUCGUGUUUCUGUCUUUACAAAAUUUAUGAGCAGUUAUUGUUAUAUCAUAAUCCUGAAUAUUAAGAUACAUUUCACUCUUGUGCUUAUAGAAAAUAUAAGUUACAUUCAUUACAUACAUACAUUACAUUAUAUUUCAGUAUUGUGCCUUUAGCAUGUAAUGUGUGCUUCUGAUUCUGAAUGCCACCAUGCUGCUCACCGCGUUCAAACUCAUCACAGAAGCCAUGAUUCCACCCAGCAUCAUGCGAAGCUCACAACAGACACAGACCGCCACUUGCUGCUGAUGGUAUUGUAAAACUACAUGGUCUCUGACUUUCAUUUUUGAAUUUUGAUUGUAUGUGUAUAAAAUCAAUAGAAAUUUAGAUUUUUCUCAUGUAGUAUCGGUUUGCUGAGUUAGGAUUAGACUUGGUCAUAUUCAUAAUUCCUUGUUUUCUAUACAUAAGAUUAUGUUUUUAAAAAACAUUACAAAAUCGUUUUCUUUGCAUUAAGCAUCACAUACUUAAGAAAGAAAAGACCUAGUAUUAAUAUUAUUUUAUAAUUUUACCAUGGGUGUCAUCAUUUCUUUUCUCCAACUUCUCUCAGAUUCACCCUAAGUGCAAACAAACUUCAGAUACUCUAGAUUAAGUAUGAGCACUAAAGCUGACUGUUUCCCACAUUCACUAUCCCUUUCUCCACUACUAGAAAUAGAAUAAAACAAAAUACAUGAAAAUCAAAAUAAUCCAAAAACACUAAUAUAAUAUCAAAAAUAAACUGAACAGCAGGAAAACCAAAAUCUUCUGAAAUAAAAAAUGAAACAAAAAUGAAGUCCGCUUUAUGUCUUACAACUAUUCCUGUUCCUGGGGCCUGAUCUCGAAAAUGUUUGAUAUAAUCAGUGACACUCUGUUUGACUAGAUUGAUUUUUUUUUUCUUUCCUAUCAACAGAAAUUAAUUUCAAAUAACUCCUUGGUUAGGGGUUGCACUUUGUCUCCUUUCCCUUCUCAUAGCGGGAAUUUUGGAUGGAUUGAACCUAUUCAGCUUUGUUUCUGCUGCCACAUUCUCUGGGCGUUCCUGUAUCUAUCAGUCCUGUUGUAUGGAUAGCAUUGUUUCCUUGCAGAAAUUCAACACCCUGACACUUAUCUUUCUACUUUUUCUUUCACAUAGAUCCAAGAGUCUUGAAGAAAAAAGUUUAAUGAAGACCCAUUUAACAGCUGGUGAUACAAAGUCGCUCACUUUCUCUCCACAGGGCACUUGAGGAUGUCUAAGUUAAUUCUUGUGAAAGAGGAGACAGCCCUGAUGGGAAUUUAUUUCUGAACUGAUUUAUGGGUAUAACAGUAUGUUGGUAGGAGUCAUUUAUGUCAGUUUUUCUCAUAGAAGAAUAAUAGUAAUAGGUUUUUUUUGUUUUUUGUUUGUUUUAUAACCUAUCUCUAACUGCACUCAAAAUCAUUGUCACUUGGCAUUAUAAAGUAUGAAUUUUAUCACAUAGACUUAGCCGUAAAAUAAAAAAACAAACAAACAA
rnacentral:lncRNA from 1 species